rnacentral:rRNA from 1 species
CCCUUAGACGUUCUGGGCCGCACGCGCGCUACACUGACGGAGCCAGCGAGUAUAAACCUUGGCCGAGAGGUCUGGGAAAUCUUGUGAAACUCCGUCGUGCUGGGGAUAGAGCAUUGUAAUUAUUGCUCUUCAACGAGGAAUUCCUAGUAAGCGCAAGUCAUCAGCUUGCGUUGAUUACGUCCCUGCCCUUUGUACACACCGCCCGUCGCUACUACCGAUUGAAUGGCUUAGUGAGGCUUCCAGAUUGGUUUAGAGAAGGGGGCAACUCCAUCUUGGAACCGAGAAGCUAGUCAAACUUGGUCAUUUAGAGGAAGUAAAAGUCGUAACA